CCUACGGGAGGCAGCAGUGAGGAAUAUUGGUCAAUGGACGAGAGUCUGAACCAGCCAAGUAGCGUGAAGGAUGACUGCCCUAUGGGUUGUAAACUUCUUUUAUAUGGGAAUAAAACGUUCCACGUGUGGGAUUUUGUAUGUACCAUAUGAAUAAGGAUCGGCUAACUCCGUGCCAGCAGCCGCGGUAAUACGGAGGAUCCGAGCGUUAUCCGGAUUUAUUGGGUUUAAAGGGAGCGUAGGUGGAUUGUUAAGUCAGUUGUGAAAGUUUGCGGCUCAACCGUAAAAUUGCAGUUGAAACUGGCAGUCUUGAGUGCAGUAGAGGUGGGCGGAAUUCGUGGUAUAGCGGUGAAAUGCUUAGAUAUCACGAAGAACUCCGAUUGCGAAGGCAGUUCACUGGACUGCAACUGACACUGAGGCUCGAAAGUGUGGGUAUCAAACAGGAUUAGAUACCCGUGUAGUC
rnacentral:rRNA from 1 species